UGGGGAAUAUUGGGCAAUGGGCGCAAGCCUGACCCAGCAACGCCGCGUGAAGGAAGAAGGGUUUCGGCUCGUAAACUUCUAUCAACAGGGACGAAAGAAAUGACGGUACCUGAAUAAGAAGCCCCGGCUAACUACGUGCCAGCAGCCGCGGUAAUACGUAGGGGGCAAGCGUUAUCCGGAAUUACUGGGUGUAAAGGGUGAGUAGGCGGCAUGGUAAGCCAGAUGUGAAAGCCUUGGGCUUAACCCGAGGAUUGCAUUUGGAACUAUCAAGCUAGAGUACAGGAGAGGAAAGCGGAAUUCCUAGUGUAGCGGUGAAAUGCGUAGAUAUUAGGAAGAACACCAGUGGCGAAGGCGGCUUUCUGGACUGAAACUGACGCUGAGGCACGAAAGCGUGGGGAGCGAACAGG
rnacentral:rRNA from 1 species